rnacentral:lncRNA from 1 species
GACCCUUUUUAUAGGGUCUUGGAGGGCACAAUCAAAGGCGGACAUCGCGCCUAUGGUCAUAUAUGGUAACAUUUAUGACGUUGGCUGACGGCGAGUAACGGUCGUAAGUCGGCGAUUCAGGUAUGGAAGUCGCCUAGUUAGGGUUAACUCGUCGAGUUUCCAGGGGCGAGAUGUGCAGUCUACCAUACUGCCGAUCUUGGCCCUAACUCGACGACUUAUCCCUAAAGUCGGCGACUUGGUAGUCCAACCGGCGACUUACGGGCUAACUCGGCGAUCUGGACGAUGAACGUGUUCCGCACCGUGGGAGCUCUCCGGGGG